rnacentral:rRNA from 1 species
CCUACGGGUGGCAGCAGUGGGGAAUAUUGGACAAUGGGGGGAACCCUGAUCCAGCCAUGCCGCGUGUGUGAAGAAGGCCCUCGGGUUGUAAAGCACUUUCAGUGAGGAAGAACGCCUGGUGGUUAAUACCCAUCAGGAAAGACAUCACUCACAGAAGAAGCACCGGCUAACUCCGUGCCAGCAGCCGCGGUAAUACGGAGGGUGCGAGCGUUAAUCGGAAUUACUGGGCGUAAAGCGCGCGUAGGUGGCUUGAUAAGCCGGUUGUGAAAGCCCCGGGCUCAACCUGGGAACGGCAUCCGGAACUGUCAAGCUAGAGUGCAGGAGAGGAAGGUAGAAUUCCCGGUGUAGCGGUGAAAUGCGUAGAGAUCGGGAGGAAUACCAGUGGCGAAGGCGGCCUUCUGGACUGACACUGACACUGAGGUGCGAAAGCGUGGGUAGCAAACAGGAUUAGAUAACCCAGUAGUC